UUGAGCCGUCGCCACGCCCACCACGCUUGCUCCACUCUCACGCCCGCGCCCUAAUACUCCCUACACAUUUCGUAUUGACGUCCCCACACACUAUAUCAUAUUUUCUAUUAAAUGUUGGAUUGACCAUUAACUCGUCGGAUCUGGCCGAUAGCUGCUAGAUUUGUAAUUUGUCAGAACAAGUCUCACGGGUGGCGUGUGUAAGGUCUAGAGAAGGGAAGGAAGAAGAAGCGCCUCUUGCUGUGACUUCAAAAGUGCUUUUGAAGAUGAGAAGGAAACAUAGAACUUGAUGAUAAAACUAAGUGUGUACGUAAAGGAAAAUAACAUUUUUUUUUCUUCAUCAGUACUAUUAUUAUCAUUAUUAUUAUUAUUAUAAAUGGAACGUAACAGAAGAGUGGUAAACUAGUGAGAGGUGUUAUGUGUUACUGGAAUACCUUCGACUUGCGUGAGGUAACGUGUGUGUGUGUGUUUGUGGUGACUGGCGAAGAAGGUAGUUUGUGCAGGAUCGUCAGCAGGAAUCUCAAUAACAGAGCGCGACAACAGGAUAAAUGAGUGAAGGAUAGUCGGCCCU